UUUCAUUUAGUAGAUCCUAGGAAACAUACGUACGAGAUAUUUACAGCCCUUCGGGUAUCAUGUAAAAGGAGGACGGUUCCUAAUCUUUUGAUCGGCAAAGGGUUCGAUGCAUUAGGUUUCGACUAUGAACGAGUCAAUCAGCUAGAUCUACUUGCGGCAAACGGCACCUUCCUUUCCCAGCCAAUGGUACGUAAGGCAAUGGUUGUUAUUUGAAGUUCAGAUCUGAUCAGGGAAUACCCUAGGUUUCGGCUUUUUCCAAGGUUCCUUAACGGUAGGUUUCUGCUCCUUGUUACAUCCCUUCCGCUCCUACUAAGACGCUGCUGA
rnacentral:rRNA from 1 species